rnacentral:rRNA from 1 species
CCUACGGGAGGCAGCAGUGAGGAAUAUUGGUCAAUGGGCGGGAGCCUGAACCAGCCAAGUCGCGUGAGGGAUGACGGCCCUAUGGGUUGUAAACCUCUUUUGCCGGGGAGCAAAGAGCCUCACGUGUGCGGUGAGGAGAGUACCCGGAGAAAAAGCAUCGGCUAACUCCGUGCCAGCAGCCGCGGUAAUACGGAGGAUGCGAGCGUUAUCCGGAUUUAUUGGGUUUAAAGGGUGCGUAGGCGGAAGCUUAAGUCAGUGGUAAAAUUGCGGGGCUCAACCUCGUCAAGCCGUUGACACUGUGUGCCUUGAGAAGGCGAGAAGUAGGCGGAAUGAGUGAUGUAGCGGUGAAAUGCAUAGAUAUCACGUAGAACUCCGAUUGCGAAGGCAGCGUACCGGCGCCCAUCUGACGCUGAAGCACGAAGGCGUGGGUAUCGAACAGGAUUAGAUACCCGGGUAGUC